rnacentral:rRNA from 1 species
GACGAACGCUGGCGGUGUGCUUAACACAUGCAAGUCGAACGGUAAGGCCCUUUCGGGGGUACACGAGUGGCGAACGGGUGAGUAACACGUGAGUAACCUGCCCUCAUCUCUGGGAUAACAGUCGGAAACGGUUGCUAAUACUGGAUAUGAGCCUGCAAGGCAUCUUGUGGGUUGGAAAGAUUUUUUGGUUGGGGAUGGACUCGCGGCCUAUCAGCUUGUUGGUAAGGUAGUGGCUAACCAAGGCUUCGACGGGUAGCCGGACUGAGAGAGUGACCGGCCACAUUGGGUCUGAGAGAAGGCAGAAGCUGCUAAGGGAGGAAGCAGUGGGGAAGAUUGCACAAGGGACGGAGGUCUGAUGAAGAAGCGCUGCGGGCGGGAUGACGGCCUUCGGGUUGAAGAACGCUUUCAAUUGUGACGAAGCUUUUUGUGACGGUAGCAGUAGAAGAAGCACCGGCUAACUACGUG